rnacentral:rRNA from 1 species
GGACCUCCAAUUAGAUAAGAGUACCCG